UACGUAGGCAGCGAGCGUUGGUCGGAAUUACUGGGCGUAAAGAGUGUGUAGGCGGUGCUCUAAGUUCGGUGUGAAAUCUCCUGGCUUAACUGGGAGGGUGCGCCGGAAACUGGAGUGCUCGAGCGUGGGAGAGGAAAGCGGAAUUCCUGGUGUAGCGGUGAAAUGCGUAGAUAUCAGGAGGAACACCUGUGGUGUAGACGGCUUUCUGGUCCAUUGCUGACGCUGAGACACGAAAGCGUGGGUAGCAAACAGG
rnacentral:rRNA from 1 species